GGCUACAGCGGACCUAGUGUGACGCUGCACAUUUUAAAUCAGGGUUGGUUCUGCUUCGGAAUCUGGAAGAUUCGGAAAGUUAAAAAAAAGGAAAAGAAAAAGAAAAACCUUUCGGGGAGGCAUGCUCCAAAAACAGCACAUUCUGCGCCCACCUUCGUGUCCCCAAAAGAGUGAGGAGAGAAGGGAAGAAGAAGGGAGGCAACUACCCGGUGCAGUAUCCCGCUGCCCACCCUCUCCGGCCGCCUGGGGGAGCGCAGCCUUGCGCCGGGGCUGGGGCUGGGGUUGGGGUUGGCCGCUGCAGCCCGCGGAACCGCUACUCACGGACGCCCUGGAUGCGUCCCCCCGGGCCUUACCUCAGGGCCUCAAGGUCUAGCUGUGCUAAUGACUCACACUUUAUCUCAACCAUGUAUAGAGGAUACACAAGAAGACUCCAGGAGGGAUGGAGCCGUUAGAGGAUUCCAUCCAGGACAGCACAUUUAAUUGUUAUGAUGUCUUGGGCUCCUCUUGGCUGUGAGAGUUUCUCAGAUUUUCCUUGUAUCUGAUGACCUUCACAGUCCUUAAGAGUAUAGGUAAAUACCUAGCAGUGAAAUGGCUGGAUAAAUCAAGGAAAGACUGUGACGGCACAGCAAGAAGGCAGCCAUCUGCAAGCCAGGAAGGGAGGCCUCAUCAGAAAUCAACUCUGGUACCUUGACCUCGGAUUUCCAGCCUGCAGAACAGUGACAAAAUAAAUCCUGUCAUUUAAGCUAUGCAGUCUUUGGUAUUUUGUUACGUCAACCCAAAUAGACUGUAUUAGUCAGGUUUCUCUAGAGCGAUGGAACUAAUAGGGUGGGUAUACAUAUAUAAAGGGGAGUUUAUCAAAUCACAUUAACUCACAUAAUUACAAGGUCCCACAAUAGUCUGUCUGCAAGCUAAGGAGCAAGGAAGCCAGUCUGACUCCCGAAGCUGAAGAACUUAGAGUUUGACAUCCAAGGGAAGAAAGCAUCCAGCAUGGAAGAAAGAUGUAGGCUGAGGCCUUUUCAUGUUUUUCUGCCUGCUUUAUAUCCUGGCUGAGCAGGCAGCUGAUUGGAUGGUGUCCACCCAGAUUAAGGGUGGAUCUGCCUUUUCCAGUCCACUGACUCAAAUGUUAAUCUCCUUUGGUAGGAUUCUCACAGACACACCAGGAUCAAUACUUUGCAUCCUUCAAGCCCAUCAAGUUGACACUCAGUAUUAACUAUCACACAGACUAAUGGAGUAUACGUUAGAUUGUAACUGCUAAUAAUAACAGUUGGUGGUAAUGGCGAUGAUAAUCCUAGAGGUCCACAACAUUUACUGAUAAAGAAUUGAAAGACCUGCUUUGAAUUGAUAAUGGAAUUUUUAGGAGGGAUAUAAAUAAGCUUUCUGCUCUCUUACUCUCCCCUUUCCUUUUAUUAAGUGGAUUUAGAAAUACUUUUAUUUGGUAAAAGAAAUGUUAUAAAUCUUCAUACAUAUGGCUAAUAUUUCUGGCUAGUUACCGUGAAGCAGAAUAACCAUUAAGCAUAUUAUUAGAGAUAAUUGAUUUCAUUGUCUGCUUGAUUUUAGUGAUAAAUUUAAGCAGUUUAUGUCACCUCACUUAGAUAAACUGCAAUUAUGAUAUAUGUCUAAAUGCAAAAUAAUGUGAUGUCUGUAGCUACCUUUAUUAUUACUUGUAUUUCUUUUUCUUUUUUCUGAAUCCACAAUUUAUGAUUUUGAUAUUGAAUGAAUAAAAUUGUUCUUUCUUCCUCACUGGGAGGCCUGCCUUGCAAGCUACUUUUUUGCCAAAACAUUUACCAGGACUUUUAAAGUCAUCUCUUGUUUUCAGUUUUCUUCUCUUUUAUGCCAACUACCUUUGAAGAGAUUUGAAAGUUAGUCUAUGUUUGAAAUUACUGUG